rnacentral:rRNA from 1 species
CCUACGGGCGGCUGCAGUGAGGAAUAUUGGUCAAUGGGCGCGAGCCUGAACCAGCCAAGUAGCGUGAAGGAUGACUGCCCUACGGGUUGUAAACUUCUUUUAUAAAGGAAUAAAGUGAGGCACGUGUGCCUUUUUGUAUGUACUUUAUGAAUAAGGAUCGGGUAACUCUGUGCCAGCAGCCGCGGUAAUACGGAGGAUCCGAUCGUUAUCCGGAUUUAUUGGGUUUAAAGGGAGCGUAGAUGGGUUGUUAAGUCAGUUGUGAAAGUUUGCGGCUCAACCGUAAAAUUGCAAGUGAUACCGGCAGUCUUGAGGACAGUUGAGGUAGGGGGAAGGCGUGGGGGAGCGGGGAAAUGGGGAGAG